rnacentral:rRNA from 1 species
CGAGAGUGGACUAGCUAACUGAAAUCAAUUAAAAAUUGAUAACAUAAGGGAAAAUAAUGAUAUUACCUUAUUAUUAGUGUCGUCCAAAACUGGUGCCAGAAGACUCGGUAAGGCCAGAGACACAAACGUUAAUCGUCUUAAUCAGGCGUAAAGGGUUUGUAGGCGGCUUUAAAAUUUAUUUAAAAUAAUAUUAAGUAAAGAAUAAAAGCUAGAAUCAAAUAGAGGAUAUAUGAAAGAAUGCUUAGAGUAGGUCUGAUAUCCUUAGAUACUAAGUAGAAUAUUAAAGGCGAAAGCUUUUUUCCAUUAAUGAUUGACGCUCAGAAACGAAGGUGAGGAUAGGAAAUAGGAUUAGAUACCCAGAAUACCCCUCUCUGUCAACGAUGAAUGGUAGUUAUUAAUAAGAAUUAUUAAUGGCAAUGUUAACACGAUAACCAUUCCGCCUUGUGAGUACAACUGCAAAGUUGAAAACAAAAAAAUUAGUCGGUUUCGGAGCAAACGAAGUGAAGCAUGUUAUUUAAUAAUAAAUCCCGCCGAUAAA